ACUCCUACGGGAGGCAGCAGUGGGGAAUAUUGCACAAUGGGGGAAGCCCUGAUGCAGCCAUGCCGCGUGUGUGAAGAAGGCCUUCGGGUUGUAAAGCACUUUCAGUAGGGAGGAAGGUAGUGUAGUUAACACCUGCACUAUUUGACGUUACCUACAGAAGAAGCACCGGCUAACUCCGUGCCAGCAGCCGCGGUAAUACGGAGGGUGCGAGCGUUAAUCGGAAUUACUGGGCGUAAAGCGCAUGCAGGCGGCCUGUUAAGUCAGAUGUGAAAGCCCGGGGUCUUAACCUCGGAAUUGCAUUUGAAACUGGCAGGCUAGAGUCUUGUAGAGGGGUUAGAAUUUCAGGUGUAGCGGUGAAAUGCGUAGAGAUCUGAAGGAAUACCAGUGGCGAAGGCGGCCCUUGGACAAGACUGACGCUCAGAUGCGAAAGCGUGGGAGCAAACAGGAUUAGAUACCCCUGGUAGCGACUGA
rnacentral:rRNA from 1 species